AGAGUUUGAUCCUGGCUCAGAACGAACGCUGGCGGCGUGGCUAAGACAUGCAAGUCAAACGGACUGUGCUUUUAGUACAGUCAGUGGCGUAAGGGUGCGGAACGGACAGGUAACGUACCCUGUGCUUCAGAAUAGCGUCUGAAAACUUCGGUUUUCUUCCGAAAGGGGCGGUAAUACUGAAUAAUGUCAUCUUUCGAAUGUUGGAUGACCAAAGAUUUAUCGGCACAGGAGCGGCCUAUCUCCUAUCAGCUUGUUGGUGAGGUAAUGGCUCACCAAGGCAACGACGGGUACCGGGACUGAGAGGUUGACCCGGCUCAUCGGGACUGAGACACUGCCCGGACCUCCACGGAGGGCUGCAGUAACGAAUAUUGCGCAAUGAGCGAAAGCUUGACGCAGCGACGCCGCGUGUAGGAUGAAGCUCCUCGGAGUGUAAACUACUGUCAGGACUUAGAAAGUGCGCUUCGGCGUAUUGAUCAAGUUCAAAGGAAGUCACGCUAACUU
rnacentral:rRNA from 1 species